ACUGGAUAAAUCACACCGACUCAUUUUCAGUAGACUAACCGAUAUUCGGUUACUACCGAUCAACAGCAAACAGCUUGAAUAACCUUCGACCCAAGACUGUCGGCACAUCAAAAUUACUAGCCGAUGGUUCGCUCAAACCUUCUACAGACAUAUCGACACUACCAACAUAUAGUCGGCCAAUCUGUUCCACAUACUAUAAUCC
rnacentral:lncRNA from 1 species